CAUGCAGUCGCGCGACAAGCCUCUUUUAGCUUGCUAUUUGAGGUGGAGGAGCGGCGUAAGGGAGAGUAACGGGUGGAUUAUCUGCCCUCGGGCCCGGGAUAGCUGUGGGAAACUGCAAGUAAUACCGGAUAAUAUCUGCGGAUCAAAGGUGUGAUUCCGCCCGAGGAUGAGUCCGCCUCCUAUUAGCUUGUUGGUGGGGUAAUGGCCUACCAAGGCUACGAUGGGUACCGGGUGUGAGAGCAUGACCCGGCUCACUGGGACUGAGACACUGCCCAGACACCUACGGGUGGCUGCAGUCGAGAAUCUUCGGCAAUGGGCGAAAGCCUGACCGAGCGAUGCCGCGUGCGGGAUGAAGGCCUUCGGGUUGUAAACCGCUGUCAGUAGGGAGGAAAUGCAUGGGGGUCAUCCCCUGUGUUUGACCUAUCUUCAGAGGAAGGACGGGCUAAGUUCGUGCCAGCAGCCGCGGUAAGACGAACCGUCCAAACGUUAUUCGGAAUUACUGGGCUUAAAGGGUGCGUAGGCGGCGCGGUUAGUCGGAUGUGAAAUCGUACAGCUCAACUGUACAACUGCGUCCGAAACUGCCGCACUUGAGGAAGGCAGAGGUGAGCGGAACUCAGGG
rnacentral:rRNA from 1 species